rnacentral:misc_RNA from 1 species
GCUUGUAAUACCUGAAAAUGAAUACAAUUCAGAAAUGCAGAGUGAGGUAAAGAAAAGUAGCAUCAUGUCAGGCAGGAGACUGCUAAAUUGCUGUAUUGAUGAUGUCAAAACUAUCAACUCUCUCCCAGUGGCCUAUGGGCUUCACCAUCAAGUGGCAAAUCCAAGUUCAAUCCUCAGAGAAAUUGGGGAGUUUGUCCCAAAGGACGGCUGAGGAUCCUCCAAGAAAUUGGGGAGUUUGUCCAGUAGGACGGCUGAGGAUGAGUUAUCA